rnacentral:rRNA from 1 species
GCAAGGAAUCUUCCGCAAUGGGCGAAAGCCUGACGGAGCAACGCCGCGUGGGGGAUGAAGCCUUUCGGGGUGUAAACCUCUUUUCUCGGGGACGAAGAUCUGACGGUACCCGAGGAAUAAGGACCGGCUAACUACGUGCCAGCAGCCGCGGUAAUACGUAGGGUCCGAGCGUUGUCCGGAGUUACUGGGCGUAAAGCGCGCGCAGGUGGCGUCGCAAGUCUGGCGUGAAAGCCCCCGGCUCAACCGGGGAGGGUCGUCGGAUACUGCGGUGCUUGAGGGAGGCAGGGGUCGGUGGAAUGCCCGGUGUAGUGGUGAAAUGCGUAGAGAUCGGGCGGAACACCCGUGGCGAAGGCGGCCGACUGGGCCUAACCUGACACUGAGGCGCGAAGGCGUGGGGAGCGAACGGGAUUAGAUACCCCAGUAGUCC